rnacentral:lncRNA from 1 species
GCUUGCAAGUGUGUGAACCAUAACCCUUCUAUGAGGCCACCUAUCACGCAAGUUGUGUCAUGUCUGGAAAGUGUGGAUGAUAGCCUGCAGACAUAAAAGUCAGUCAAGACAUGGUUCAGCACUGCAGGCUGCAGCUAGCCAAUUAAACAUGAUAAUAUCGUAGUUCAGUGCAUAAAAUAGAUGUAUUUUUCAGUAGAGGUACUAGUUUUGCGUUUCGCUAGUGUUACCGUGCAUAUUGUACAGUUUCUUGAACAUUUUGAAACUACUUUUGAGAAAAGUAUCCAUCCUCCACCCCUUUUCUUUUUCCUUGAAGUACUAUGUAACAUGUACAGUGAUCGGUGAUCAGUUUCUGGAGCACAGUGACCAAGCAAAAACAAGUGAAAAAUAGGUUCGAUUGUUCAGUUCGUUACUAACUCAGGUAGUGAUACUAAUGCAUUUAGGUGAUUUAGCCCAGAUCUUGCCUCUGAUCGACAUGCUUCAGAAACCAUUGGAGAUUAAGAGUAGAGAUGCAGAGCAAGUAUGCCAACAAUGUCUGGUUCUAUACUUCUAUGAAAUGGAGCGGCAGUGCAAUACUUACAUUGUUCACAACCUCGACCUGCUCGGCUAGCCAACUCGCACGAGCCUUUCGACAGACACUGUCUCUGUCCAAGGCAUGAGCCCGAAUGACGGGUACCUCCGGCGGCAUUUCGUCGAACAGCUUGAGCGCGAAAC